rnacentral:rRNA from 1 species
GACGAACGCUGGCGGCGUGCUUAACACAUGCAAGUCGAACGGAAAGGCCCCUUUGGGGGUACUCGAGUGGCGAACGGGUGAGUAACACGUGAGUAACCUGCCCUUGACUUCGGGAUAACUUCAGGAAACUGGGGCUAAUUCCGGAUAGGAAUCCUUGCUGCAUGGUGGGGGUUGGAAAGCUUCGGCGGUUUUGGAUGGACUUGCGGCUUAUCAGCUUGUUGGUGGGGUAGUGGCUUACCAAGGCUUUGACGGGUAGCCGGCCUGAGAGGGCGACCGGCCACAUUGGGACUGAGAUACGGCCCAGACUCCUACGGGAGGCAGCAGUGGGGAAUAUUGCACAAUGGGCGGAAGCCUGAUGCAGCAACGCCGCGUGCGGGAUGACGGCCUUCGGGUUGUAAACCGCUUUCAGCAGGGGCGAAGCUUGUGGUGACGGUACCUGCAGAAGAAGCACCGGCUAACUACGUG